UUUAUGGAGAGUUUGAUCCUGGCUCAGGAUGAACGCUGGCGGCGUGCCUAAUACAUGCAAGUCGAGCGAACAGAUAAGGAGCUUGCUCCUUUGACGUUAGCGGCGGACGGGUGAGUAACACGUGGAUAACCUACCUAUAAGACUGGGAUAACUUCGGGAAACCGGAGCUAAUACCGGAUAACAUAUU
rnacentral:rRNA from 1 species